AAUGAACGCUGGCGGCGUGGUUAAGACAUGCAAGUCGAACGGUUUUUCAGGUGUAGCAAUACAUUUGAAAAGCAGUGGCGAACGGGUGCGUAACACGUGAACAAUCUACCAUUUAGUGUGGAAUAGCUCGGCGAAAGCCGGAUUAAUACCGCAUGUGGUUGGCUUUCUCCUGAAAGCCAUACUAAAGCCGGGGACCGCAAGGCCUGGCGCUAAUUGAGGAGUUCGCGGCCUAUCAGCUAGUUGGCGAGGUAACGGCUCACCAAGGCUAAGACGGGUAGCGGUUGUGAGAGGAUGAUCAGCCACACUGGAACUGAGAAACGGUCCAGACACCGACGGGUGGCAGCAGUUUCGAAUCAUUCACAAUGGGCGAAAGCCUGAUGGUGCGACGCCGCGUGAGGGAUGAAGGUCUUCGGAUUGUAAACCUCUGUCACUGGGGAGAAAACGCUUCAAUUUAACAGAUUGAAGCCUGAUUUAACCCGGAGAGGAAGCAGUGGCUAACUCUGUGCCAGCCGCCGCAGUAA
rnacentral:rRNA from 1 species